UACGUAGGUGACCAGCGUUGUCCGGAUUUACUGGGCGUAAAGAGCGCGCAGGCGGUCGUUCAAGUCGAGUGUGAAAGCCCCCGGCUCAACUGGGGAGGGUCACUUGAUACUGAUCGACUCGAAGGCAGGAGAGGGAAGCGGAAUUCCCGGUGUAGUGGUGAAAUGCGUAGAUAUCGGGAGGAACACCAGUGGCGAAGGCGACUUCCUGGCCUGUUCUUGACGCUGAGGCGCGAAAGCUAGGGGAGCAAACGGG
rnacentral:rRNA from 1 species